AAUUUUCCCACAAGACGACAACCUCCUUGACUUCUCCAGCACGCCCUCUUGCAUAGCCACCGCUCCUCUGGCUUUCCUGCUUCCGUGCGCCGUCUUUAACCUCGUGGGUUUGCGGUACUGGCGGCGGCAGAUGGGGGCGGCGGCUGGAUCAGGACUGUGAGGGCAGCAGAUUAAAGGGAGAGAAAGAAGCCCCGGUCUAGUCACCAGGUGGCAAUGGAGAGCAUGCUGGUGAACUUUCAACCUCAUCUGCUUUCGUGUUGAAGAUAUAUAGACAAAAGAGCAACACAUUGAGUAGUUACUUUAAAGUGAUGACUUUGUAAGUACAAUAUUUUAUAGUUCUAUAUAUGCAAGAGACGUUCAUGUUU